GUAACAGUGUAGUGGACAAGAACACAGACUGGGAGUCAGACUGCCUAGGUUCAAAUCCUGGCUGUUACU
rnacentral:tRNA from 1 species